rnacentral:lncRNA from 1 species
GAUUUUUCUGAAGAGAUACAAGGGACCUUCUGACCACUGGAUCGGCCUGCAUAGAGCGUCAACAAAGCACCCUUGGAUAUGGGCAGAUGACACUGAGUAUAGCAACUUGGUUCUCAUCCGAGGAGGAGGACAAUGUGGCUUCCUGAGUGACAAUGGGAUCAGCAGUGGCAGGGACUAUACACAUAGGAAGUGGAUUUGUAACAAGUCCAGCAGCUACACCUCACAGUACCCACUAUUUGUAAAUCCAAGCUAGGGAAUGUACCAAGGGAAAGCAUGUGUGAGAAACAGAUGCUCUGUGAUCUGUUAUCUACAGUUGCUGCUCUACUCAGGACCUACCAAAGCCAUGAACAAAAUCCAUCAAUAACCACAUUGACAACAAAGAUGAAAACUAGCUUAGAGGAUCAUAGGAAUACUACAUAAAUUUUGGAUAAAUGAUUCUAAAUUAAAUCGGUAUUUGGGUAUGAGUUAGUACUGAUAUCUAAAACUAAAGUAUAAACAAAACUGUGUUGGUGAGCUCCAUUUUAUCAUCAGGAAUGAACAUUUUCAUUGGUCCUUGCUAUAAAUUCAGGGGAUAUGAACCCAUGAAAAUUAUUAGUCACAAGAAAUAUGAUAAUUGGCCUGUGGCUUCCAAAUAUUAUAGUAAGUAUGGUCAUCAUUCUUUUUAAAAAAUUCAAUAACAAAUAUGGAGGGAAAUCUAAACCAGAUGGAAGGCAAUGCUGUAUACUCUGUCAUUUAAUAGCAUUGUCAAUUAUUUUUAUACUUUAUUUACGAGUUUUUUAAAAUUGAAACAGACUAAGAAUAUGAUACAAGCAAAUGUCAUUUUAUUUUCCAAAUUUAAACUUUUUUGAGAAUUCCAUACGAGUGUAUGACAUUUGAAUUUUAUUCUUUACUAGGUUCUUUUCAGAUCAGGAUAAAAUUGGUUACUGAACCUCCUUCAAAGCAUUUGAUCCCUAAUCUUGUAAUCAUUUACACACACAUAAGUUUUAAGAAAAAAUAUUAACAAUAUUUGGAUAAUGUGCUACACUGUACUGAUGAGUCCCAAAAAGGACGAAAUAACAGGUCAGUUAACACUUUCGUCUUACUUUAUCUUUGGAUUAAACCUUCUCACACAUGCUAGGCAAACACUAUCCUACCGAUAUUACACUAUCCCUUUUUAUAAAUUUUUAUUUCAUAACAAGAUCAUUCUGUAAGCCCCAGAUGGCUAGGAUUACAGCUGUGUAUCACCACAGAGGCCUUGCUCUAUUAACGUUUUAGUUCAUGGAGUUCAGGGACAGGACUAUGAUACCAAUGGUAAAGGCACCAACUACUAAGACUGAUAACUUGAGUUCAACAUCUGGAUUAGCAUGUUGGGAGCAUAAAAUCGUCCACAGUAUAUUGUUUGUAAACUUCAAACUUGCACUGUACCCAUUCACAAACAAACACACACAAAUAUAUUAAAAUGAAGUAAAAAAUAUUAA